rnacentral:rRNA from 1 species
CACGUAGGGCGCAAGCGUUGUCCGGAAUUAUUGGGCGUAAAGAGCUCGUAGGCGGUCUGUUGCGUCCGCUGUGAAAACUCGGGGCUUAACCCCGAGCCUGCAGUGGAUACGGGCAGACUAGAGGUAGGUAGGGGAGAAUGGAAUUCCCGGUGUAGCGGUGAAAUGCGCAGAUAUCGGGAAGAACACCCGUGGCGAAGGCGGCUCUCUGGAACGCAACUGACGCUGAGACGCGAAAGCGUGGGUAGCAAACAGG